ACAGGUGGUGCAUGGUUGUCGUCAGCUCGUGUCGUGAGAUGUUGGGUUAAGUCCCGCAACGAGCGCAACCCUUGAUCUUAGUUGCCAGCAUUAAGUUGGGCACUCUAAGGUGACUGCCGGUGACAAACCGGAGGAAGGUGGGGAUGACGUCAAAUCAUCAUGCCCCUUAUGACCUGGGCUACACACGUGCUACAAUGGAUGGAACAAAGGCAGCGAAGCCGCGAGGUGAAGCCAAUCCCAUAAAACCAUUCUCAGUUCGGAUUGCAGGCUGCAACUCGCCUGCAUGAAGCCGGAAUCGCUAGUAAUCGCGGAUCAGCAUGCCGCGGUGAAUACGUUCCCGGGCCUUGUACACACCGCCCGUCACACCACGAGAGUUUGUAACACCCGAAGUCGGUGGGGUAACCUUUAUGGAGCCAGCCGCCUAAGGUGGGACAGAUGAUUGGGGUGAAGUCGUAACAAGGUAGCCGUAUCGGAAGGUGCGGCUGGAUCACCUCCUAAUCUAGAUGCAUCGCGAGUUUAUA
rnacentral:rRNA from 1 species